rnacentral:rRNA from 1 species
UUCCUACGGGUGGCAGCAGUGGGGAAUCUUGCGCAAUGGGCGAAAGCCUGACGCAGCCAUGCCGCGUGGAUGAUGAAGGUCUUAGGAUUGUAAAAUCCUUUCAGCGGGGACGAUAAUGACGGUACCCGCAGAAGAAGCCCCGGCUAACUUCGUGCCAGCAGCCGCGGUAAUACGAAGGGGGCUAGCGUUGCUCGGAUUUACUGGGCGUAAAGGGCGCGUAGGCGGACAGUUAAGUCGGGGGUGAAAGCCCGGGGCUCAACCUCGGAAUUGCCUUCGAUACUGGCUGUCUUGAGUACGGGAGAGGUGUGUGGAACUCCGAGUGUAGAGGUGAAAUUCGUAGAUAUUCGGAAGAACACCAGUGGCGAAGGCGACACACUGGCCCGUUACUGACGCUGAGGCGCGAAAGCGUGGGGAGCAAACAGGAUUAGAUACCCUGGUAGUCUA